rnacentral:rRNA from 1 species
UACGUAGGGUGCAAGCGUUGUCCGGAAUUAUUGGGCGUAAAGAGCUCGUAGGCGGUUUGUUGCGUCGGCUGUGAAAUCCCGAGGCUCAACCUCGGGUCUGCAGUCGAUACGAGCAAACUAGAGUGUUGCAGGGGAGACUGGAAUUCCUGGUGUAGCGGUGAAAUGCGUAGAUAUCAUUUGGAACGCCAAUGGUGAAAACAGCUCGCUGGGGGGUGUCCUGACGGCUGAGACGGCGAAA